UACGUAGGGGGCAAGCGUUGUCCGGAAUCAUUGGGCGUAAAGCGCGUGUAGGCGGCUCGAUAAGUCUGCUGUGAAAGUCCAGGGCUCAACCCUGGGAUGCCGGUGGAUACUGUCGAGCUCGAGUCCGGAAGAGGCGAGUGGAAUUCCUGGUGUAGCGGUGGAAUGCGCAGAUAUCAGGAGGAACACCGAUAGCGAAGGCAGCUCGCUGGGACGGUACUGACGCUGAGGCGCGAAAGCGUGGGGAGCGAACAGG
rnacentral:rRNA from 1 species